AAAAAACAAGUACGAUUUACCCCAAAUCUAUGCUAAAACGUUAAAUAAAAACCAAACACAAGUGCCAAUAAAUGUUUGUUUUAUUUAUGAACCAUCUGUCAUCAGGAAAAGGAACCAAGUGCAACAGAACAAAACAAAGAAGUGCAGGGACCGGGAGCUGUGGAGGAACCGGAACUGAGUGGAACAGAACUAAACAAAGAAGCUCAGGAACAGGGGGUUGAGAAUGUAGAGGUGCAGCAGGAGGAGGUGCCUCAGCAGGAGGGACAACAGGAUAACCCUUCCCAAACAGAGGAAGAGCUCAAUACCCCUGAGGAUAUUUUAGUUUCCCCAUACCAACCAGAUGCACAGCUAAUUGAGCCACAAACUCUGCCCAACCGCACUCUCCGAUUCCAGGAGAGCUGGUUCAAAGACUACCCCUGGCUACAUUACAGUUCUGAAAUUAAAGGAGUUUUGUGUUUCUACUGUGUAAAGGCCUUUAAACAUAAUAUUCCAACAAUGGCCAGAAAUACAGAACAAACCUUCAUUUCCUUGGGGUUCAGGAACUGGAAGAAGGGUAGGGGGGCGUUCGACAAGCACACCAACAGUAAGGCACACAUUGUUGCUGUAAACAAACACACACAUACACACAACUCUGUCAGGAUGCAACUUUGCAGCAUCUCAGAAAAAUCACAAGAAGCAGCCAGGUCAGCACUGGUAAAGAUUGUGAGUUCACUGAGGUACCUUGCUAGACAGGGAUUAGCUCUCAGAGGCCAUGACAAUGAUGAGGGAAACUUCAAGCAGCAUCUGGAGGAGAAGGCUGAGAGUGACCCAAAACUGGCAAGCUGGUUGCUGAGAAACCAUGCCUACACAAGUCCUGAGUGUCAGAAUGAGAUACUGCAGUUAAUGAGCAACGCUAUUAUCAGGCAAAUAGCUAAAAACAUCCAUGCUUUACCUGUACUGCAGUACUCCUUGAUAAUGGACGGAACACAGGAUAUAUCUGGCACGGAACAGAUUUCAAUUUGCCUCCGGUAUGUGGAUGCUGACCUUGAGCCAAGGGAGGACUUUGUUGGUCUGUACGAGGCCUCUUCAACGACCGGUGAGCACCUUUUUAGAAUUGCCUCUGAUGUGCUGCUCCGUCUAAACCUGCCGUUCUCUGGUCUUCGUGGGCAGACCUACGAUGGCGCAGC